rnacentral:sRNA from 1 species
UUACAACCGCUCAAAAAAGGUAUAAGUAUGAGGUUCUCAUCACCUUUGAUGGCGAGUCUUAA